GAUGAACGCUAGCGGGAGGCUUAACACAUGCAAGUCGAGGGGCAGCAUAGAGUAGCAAUACUUUGAUGGCGACCGGCGCACGGGUGAGUAACGCGUAUGUAACCUACCCUGUACAGGGGGAUAGCCCGGAGAAAUUCGGAUUAAUACCCCAUAAUGAUAUCGAGAGGCAUCUUUUGAUAUUUAAAGCUUCGGCGGUACGGGAUGGGCAUGCGUGACAUUAGCUAGUUGGUAAGGUAACGGCUUACCAAGGCUGCGAUGUCUAGGGGUCCUGAGAGGGUGAUCCCCCACACUGGUACUGAGACACGGACCAGACUCCUACGGGAGGCAGCAGUGAGGAAUAUUGGUCAAUGGGCGUAAGCCUGAACCAGCCAUCCCGCGUGAAGGAAGAAGGCGCUAUGCGUCGUAAACUUCUUUUCCAGAGGAAUAAAAUUUUGUACGCGUACAGAACUGAAGGUACUCUGGGAAUAAGCAUCGGCUAACUCCGUGCCAGCCGCCGCGGUAA
rnacentral:rRNA from 1 species